UACGAAGGAGGCUAGCGUUGCUCGGAAUCACUGGGCGUAAAGGGUGCGUAGGCGGGUCUUUAAGUCAGGGGUGAAAUCCUGGAGCUCAACUCCAGAACUGCCUUUGAUACUGAAGAUCUUGAGUUCGGGAGAGGUGAGUGGAACUGCGAGUGUAGAGGUGAAAUUCGUAGAUAUUCGCAAGAACACCAGUGGCGAAGGCGGCUCACUGGCCCGAUACUGACGCUGAGGCACGAAGGUCAGGGGAGCAAACGGG
rnacentral:rRNA from 1 species